GGCCAUACGUGCAGCAUAUGGAAGUUCCCAAGCCAGGGGUCAAAUUGGAGCUACGGGGCUGCUGGCCUAUGCCACAGCCAUAGCAACGCGGGAUCCAAGCCACAUCUGCCACCACAGCUCACGGCAACACCGGAUCCUUAACCCACUGAGCUGGGCCAAGGAUCGAACCCUCAUGUUCAUGGAUUCUAGUCGGUUUGUUAACCACUGAGCCACAAAGGGAACUCCUCUUUUUGUUCUUUCCAUGUCUUCACCUGAUUGGAUGAGGCCCACUUGCAUUGAAGAUAUCUGCUGUAUUCUGCUGAUUCAAAUGCUCUCUCUCUCAAAACAGCUUCACAGAAACAUCCGGAAUACAGUGACCUAAUAUCUGGCCACCUUAUGGCCCAGAUAAAUUGAUGCAUAAAAUUAACCAUCAUAGAAAGGAAAAUGGUAAAGGUGCCUGCUGAUUCUCAAACAUUCCUAGAGACCCUAUGAGGAAAGAGCCUGCUCUUUAGUCUCACUGGCUAGAACUCUAUCACAAAGCUCCACUAGCUGUGUGAGUGCUUAGGAAAUUGAGUGUUUUUGUGGACUUACUGCAAUCUCAAAUAAAGCCAGGAAUCUUUUAGCAAGGACAAGAGAGAGAAUAGGUAUUGGGUAGGCAAUUAUCAGGAUCUGACCCUCUAAGAGUCACAAUUUAAGGGGAUUUGAUUAAAAUUUCAACAUUUAGGAAAAGGUCAAAUAGGAUGCAAAUGUAAUGAGGUAGGCAGACUUUAUUUCCAUAUAAAUCUACUUCAUCCUGGGAUAACCAGCAGCUACUAUUCAGGAUGGAGGGUCUUGAAAGGGUAAUUGCAAUGUUGUAAUUAUCAUGUCUGACAAAUAUACGACUUGUGCACCUAAUUAAAUUUUUGCUUGAUUUUCAUCAUACAAUUCAGAAUGGCUUGUACAAUUCACUUUCCUAUAUGCAUACACAUUGCUAACUUAAAAAAAAUACAUAUACACAAUAUAAAUUUAGAAAUAUAUCUUCUGUAUUAAUUAAAUGUUGGCUAUUAAGAAUGACUUCCCAGUAAUCAUAUUGUAUUGUAUUGUUGAUAUAAAAUAUUAUGAAAUAUCUAAUACAGAAUAAUUGUUUUCCUAUUUUAUGUAUUCAUCUCCAGUUACUAAAACUUACUUUUCUUUUACACAAUAAAGGAAUCUAAAAUUUUGAGCCCUUUACUGAAAUGCUACUGUAUAAUAACCAACAUUUAUUUUAUGGAAUUUGUGAAAUGAUGCAAAGAAUUGUGGGAGUGAGGUUUAAAGUAGGCUUGAAAUUUGCUGAAAUUGAAAUUUACUGAAAGGAUAAUACUCAUGUGCUGUCAUAUCAAAGGGAAAUAGUACAGAUUGUCUUUUAAUUGUUUAGCUUAUUUACUGAUAUCAAAUAUAUAAUUAUUUAAAUAUAUGUCUUGAAAAACAUUGACACGUUUAUAUCUUUGCUAUGCACCCAAACACUCAGAGUGCCAAGUAGACUACUGUUUUUUUGUUUUCACUUCUACAUGUUAUCCUAAAUAUCAAUAUUUAUAAAUUUUUCUUUUAAAAACAUUUCAGUUGCAUAACUGAGGUGUAUCAAGGUAUACCUGACAAGAGUGUAGAGGUGCCACUUAUCUAGUGAGUUUCAGAAAGUUAAAUAUAUGAUUUAUAUAUAUUGGCUUCUAUCUAAAUCUAAAGGUUCCAUCUAAAUGUUUAUAAAUACAUAUUUCAAAGUUGAAGUUUUGAAUUACAUAUCUAAAUAUUUUAAUAGUAAUGUUAUAUGCCAUAUAUUACUAAAAUAGUAAAUGUUUUAAUGACAUUUUAGAGAAAAAUAAGUCAUAUAAUGUGAGAAAAUGUUGACCAAUAAUUUUCCUCUAAUGAGACUUUCAGUAAAAUACUAUAAGAAGUAUGUAGUAUAUUUUUUCAUUUUAUUUGACAGGAACCUAAUCAUAAUACCAUUUUUAGAGUUGUAUGUUUAAAGUUUAAAUCAAUUAUUUUAUGAACUUCUAUUAACCUUUAAACUUCUAUUAGAGUUAAGUUUGUUUGAAUAAUUAUUGAAAGCAUAAUACAAAGAGCAAAUGCUACUUACUGCCCCUCUAUUGUUUUGAAAUGGCUCUAUUGUAAAAUUUUCUAAUUCAGAAUGAUUAGAGAAGUGAAAUGUAAAGUGAUUUUAAAAAUAAGGGUAUAUUGCAGAAUUCCCCUUUGCUGAGUAUAUCUAGUCUCUGACUCCUCUCCAAGUUCAUUUCUUCCACUCUCUCCCUUAGCCUAGACUCUCCAGAUUCAUUGACCACCUUUCCUUCUUCAAGGGUACCAAGCUCUUCCCAUCCUCAGAGCUUCUGUGAUGGCUGUUCUUUCUUAUUAAACUUACCUUUCCACUCCUUGGCAGGAUGGUCUCUGACUCAUUUUUCAGAUAAAAUUCUACAUCCUGCCCCUAAUCAGGACCUUCCAUGAAUUUAUCUAUUGUUGAACAUUCCCACUCAAUCAUUCUCUUUAAUAUCACACAUGGUAGGAUGUAUCAAAAGUAUAAUUUUCCAGUGUUAUUAUUUUUCAUUAUCUAUUCCCCCCUCUCCCACACUUACAGGCUAUAGACACUGUGUCCAGAAUCAUAUUUCCCUCUUUGGAGCUGUUAAUCUCAGAGCUCAAAUACAAAGGUGCCUGGCAGAGUAGAUACUCAAAUGUUUGCAGAUUAACCAAGUAAAGUCUAAAUGCAAACAGAUCUAUGAUAGGUAAGACACAUUUGCCAUUAACAACAAAUAUUGUCUCAUGAAAAUAGAGCCUUGAAAGUGUAACUAUCCCGGUGGCAAGGCCACUAUUUUGCAAUUUUGUAGAGAAAUAUAGUUUAUACUUUAAGCCAUUCCUUUAGAUGCAGUAUUAAAAUUCAUCCGGUAUAGGUAAAACAAUAAUAAAAUCUGAGCUAGAAAUCUGAAUGAUUAGUAUUCAGGUCUCCUGAAUUUUGAAUAAAAAUGAAUAUGGAGAUUCUAGACUUAGAAGUAAGAUGUGUAAUUCAGAAAUAAGUACCUAGUUUUUUCACCUCCUCAUUUGCAAAGAGCAUAUGAAUAUAAAACAUUCUGGGGAGCAGUGCCUUCCACUGAUUGGUAUAAUUUUCUGACAGAUGGAAGAAAAGAACGGUGCUUCUGUUAACAUUUCGAAAUACCACAAACAUAUAUACUCAGAUAAAAUUUUAUUCAAAUAACAGCAGGAAAGGGUUUCACUGUAUUUUAUUAAGCACAUUACAUUUUAAUGCAUUCCAACUCUAAAAGAAGGCAAUACAAAGAGUAGAAAUCACACUUAUCUACUCUUCACAAGGCCAGGCCCCCAUCCAGUCUCUGGCUCACCACUGUCAAGAGUAAAGUGCGCCUAAUGCCAAACUCCCUUACUGCUUUUACACCCAUAUAUGCAUAUAUAUGUACAUCAUUUUUAUACCAUCUUUUAUGAAUGGGAUUAAAUAUACUGUCAUUUUUUCUUUUAGCAAUUAGAGAUUUUUCAUAUAUACAUAUCAACCAAUAUAUUUUCUUAUUAACCUUAUAAGCUCUUUGUAUUUAAAAUGUGAUAUACUAUAAUUUACUUAGGCUUUCUUCAAUGAAAAAUGUUGUUUUUAACACUAUUAGCUAGCGUAAUGCUUUAAACAACACCUUUGAAUGAAUAAACAAAUUUGGUCUAUGUAUACAAUGGAAUAUUAUUCAGCCUUAAAAAGGAAGAGAAUUCUGACACAUGCUACAAUGUGAAGGACCUUGAGGACAUCAUGCGGAGUGAAAUAAACCGGUCACAAAAAAGACAAAUACUCUAUUAUUUCAAUUUAUGAGAUAACCUAGUGUAGUCAAAUUCAUAGAAGCAGAAAGCAGAAUGGUGGUUGGCAGCGACUGGAGAGAGGGGAAAAUGGGGAGUUGCUGGUUAAAGGAUAAAGAGUUUCAGUUUUGCAAGAUGAAAAGAAUUCUGGAGUUUGCUUGCACAGCAACGUGAAUGUACUCACCACUAGUGAAUGCUGUGCUUAAAAAUUGUGGAGAUGGUAAAUUUUAUGUUGUGUAUUUUAUCACAAUUAAAAAUUUAAAAAAAUAAUGGAAAUGAGCGUUCCCAUUAUGGCUUAGCUAGUAAAGAACCUGACUUAGCCUCCAUGAGGAUGAGGGUUCUAUCCCUGGCCUUGCUCAGUGGAUUAAGGAUCCAGUAUUGACACAAGCUGCAGUGUAGGCUGAAGAUGUGGCUUGGAUCCAGUGUUGCCACGGCUGUGGUGUAGGCUUUGGUUGAAGCUCUUAUUUGACCCCUAACCUGGGAACUUCUAUAUGCUGCAGGUGUGGCCCUAAAAAGAAAAAAAAUAAUGGAAAUGAAAUGAUUAAAUAUUUAGAGAAUAAUAAAAUUUUCUACACUUUCUAAAUUUUGACAGAUUUGAAUCAGCAUAUUUAUUUUGACCAUUAUUUUGAAUGAAAUAAAAUAAGAAUUGGAGCCCACCGUGCACUGCUUUUUAAUCUAAUUUCAUCCUUAAUCUCUGAAGAAGAUAAGGCAUAUAUUUGGCAUUUACAACUUGAGUGGAAAUUUGCACAUUUAGUUUAUAAAUAUGAAUUCAUAAAUAUAAUGCUAUUUUUUCAUGUUUUAAAACAUACACAAAUGUUAUUAUGCUGUAAAUAAAUAUAUGUGGCUUGAUUAGCUAAUUAGUUUUUCUCUGCUGUAAAUUGUUUAUUUUAUAUUUUAUCUGUUUGUGCUAUUAGAGUUUGUAUCUGUUUCUUAUUGUGUUUGGGAAUUCUUAACAUAGUUUCUAUAUUAAAGCUUCUCGAUUUUCUAUAUUGUAAUAUUCUCCUAGUUUUUGUCUUUUUAUUUCUAUGGUGUCUUUGAUGUUAAGGCUUUGAGCUAUAAUGUAGUUAAAAUAAACACAGUCUUCUUUUAUAGUUUGUGGUUCUUGAAGCUGCCUCAGGGAAUGUUUACAUGCCCUUAAGUCAUUAAAUUUUCUCUUGUAUAAUCUUUAAACACUCUGAAUGUUUUGUUUUUCACAUUUAGGCCAUAUUUUGCUUGGCUGAACUCCAAGCAUAUGGAGGUUCCCAGGCUAGGGGUCUAAACGGAGCUACAGCUGCUGGCCUACACCACAGCCACAGCAACAAGGGAUCUGAGACGCAUCUGCGACCUACAUUACAGCUCAUGGAAAAGCUGAAUCCUUAACGUACUGAGCGAGGCCAGGGAUCAAACCCACAUCCUCAUGGA
rnacentral:lncRNA from 1 species